UACGAAGGGGGCUAGCGUUGUUCGGAAUUACUGGGCGUAAAGGGCGCGUAGGCGGUGUGUCAAGUCAGGCGUGAAAGCCCCGGGCUCAACCUGGGAACCGCGCUUGAGACUGGCACGCUCGAGUUCGGGAGAGGAUGGUGGAAUUCCCAGUGUAGAGGUGAAAUUCGUAGAUAUUGGGAAGAACACCGAUGGCGAAGGCGGCAGCCUGGGUCCAGACUGACACUGAGGUGCGAAAGCGUGGGGAGCAAACAGG
rnacentral:rRNA from 1 species